rnacentral:lncRNA from 1 species
CUCCGGUGCGGUGGUUGUCCAUGCCGCCGCCGCGCCGGAGUUUUUUUUUUACUUCUUUUUCGAAAACAAAUACUCCAAACUGCUCCUCUUUCUCUUCUCUAAACGGAUCCACACUCAAAGUUUUGAAAACAAAUCACAUAAACACUAGAUCUAGAAAAAGUUUCAUCAACAAAAACUUUUCACAAAUGUUUUCAAACAAAC